rnacentral:rRNA from 1 species
GAGCCGAGGCUCAAAGCAGUGAUGCGCCUUUGGAGUAGCCUGCGUCCGAUUAGCUUGUUGGUGGGGUAAAGGCCUACCAAGGCGACGAUCGGUAGCUGGUCUGAGAGGACGACCAGCCACACUGGGACUGAGACACGGCCCAGACUCCUACGGGAGGCAGCAGUGGGGAAUAUUGGACAAUGGGCGCAAGCCUGAUCCAGCAAUUCCGCGUGGGUGAAGAAGGUCUUCGGAUUGUAAAGCCCUUUCGACGGGGACGAUGAUGACGGUACCCGUAGAAGAAGCCCCGGCUAACUUCGUGCCAGCAGCCGCGGUAAUACGAAGGGGGCUAGCGUUGCUCGGAAUUACUGGGCGUAAAGGGCGCGUAGGCGGCACGAUUAGUCAGGCGUGAAAUUCCUGGGCUCAACCUGGGGACUGCGCUUGAUACGGUCGAGCUAGAGGAUGGAAGAGGGUCGCGGAAUUCCCAGUGUAGAGGUGAAAUUCGUAGAUAUUGGGAAGAACACCGGUGGC